UAGUGUUCGUGCAUACAUCUAGGGUCCAUAUAUCGGCUCAGCACGAUAUUCCUGAUCGGGGAUCUCAUCGCGGUGGGUGCAGCACUUGCAACCACCUUGGCUCCCAUGGUGACAACAACCAUGAGAGCAACCGUGGCCGCUAUCUGAGUGACCGCCGCCAUGAUUGUAGUAACCACUUCCAUAGUAACCUCUCCCACCAUAAUAGCGAUUGUGGUAGCCACCGCCACCAUACUUCUCGUCAGCAACUCCUGCCUCACUCAGCUUCUUUCCCUCCUCUGCCAGUUCCCG
rnacentral:misc_RNA from 1 species